rnacentral:rRNA from 1 species
UACGGGGGGGGCAAGCGUUGUUCGGAAUUAUUGGGCGUAAAGAGCGCGUAGGCGGGUUGACAAGUCUCUCGUGAAAGCCCACGGCUCAACCGUGGAAUUGCGGGAGAUACUGUCUGUCUUGAGUCCGGGAGAGGAGGGUGGAAUUGCCAGUGUAGCGGUGAAAUGCGUAGAUAUUGGGAGGAACACCGGUGGCGAAGGCGGAUCUCUGGACCGGUACUGACGCUGAGGCGCGAAAGCUAGGGGAGCAAACGGG